CAUCUGCUUGGCGUCUGCUUCUAAAUAAGAUUCAAGCCUAAGAUAUGUUGUUGUUUUUUAAUCUGUCAUCAUU